rnacentral:rRNA from 1 species
UACGAGGGGGGCAAAUGUUGUUCGGAAUCACUGGGCGUAAAGGGAGCGUAGGCGGGUUCUUAAGUUAGGUGUUUAAUCCCGGGGCCCAACCCCGGACCGGCACUUAAAACUGGGAAUCUUGAAUAGUGGAGAGGUCGGUGGAAUUGGGGGUGUAGCGGUGGAAUGCGCAGAUAUCAGGAGGAACACCAAUAGCGAAGGCAGCUCGCUGGGACGUUACUGACACUGAGGCGCGAAAGCGUGGGGAGCGAACAGG